GUGCUUGCUUCAGCAGUACAUACACUAAAAUUGGAACGAUACAGGGAAGAUUAGCAUGGCCAGUAUGCAAGGAUGACAUACAAAUUCGUGAAGCAUUCCAUAUUUUU